rnacentral:rRNA from 1 species
UACAGAGGUCCCGAGCGUUGUUCGGAUUCAUUGGGCGUAAAGGGUGCGUAGGCGGUCUUCUAAGUUUGAUGUGAAAUCCCGGGGCUCAACCCUGGAAUUGCAUUGAAUACUGGAGGACUAGAGUACCGGAGAAGGAACUGGAAUUUACGGUGUAGCAGUGAAAUGCGUAGAGAUCGUAAGGAAGACCAGUGGCGAAGGCGAGUUCUGGACGGUGAACUGACGCUGAGGCACGAAGGCCAGGGGAGCAAACGGG